rfam:Oryza nivara chromosome 8, whole genome shotgun sequence.
AAUAAGCGCAGUUUCACACUAUCCACGUUCAACGUUUGAUCGUUCGUCUUAUUUGAAAAUUUUUUAUGAUUAGUAUUUUUAUUGCUAUUAGAUGAUAAAAUAUGAAUAGUACUUUAUGUGUGACUAAUUUUUUUUUAUUUUUUUCACAAAAUUUUCAAAUAAGACGGACGGUCAAAUGUUAGACACGGAUAUUCACGGCUGCACUUAUU